UCUACGGGGGGCAGCAGUGGGGAAUAUUGGGCAAUGGGCGCAAGCCUGACCCAGCAACGCCGCGUGAAGGAAGAAGGCUUUCGGGUUGUAAACUUCUUUUAAGGGGGAAGAGCAGAAGACGGUACCCCUUGAAUAAGCCACGGCUAACUACGUGCCAGCAGCCGCGGUAAUACGUAGGUGGCAAGCGUUGUCCGGAUUUACUGGGUGUAAAGGGCGUGCAGCCGGGGAUAAAAGUCAGAUGUGAAACCCACGGGCUCAACACGUAAACUGCAUUGGAAACGGUUUCCCGGGAGUGCCGGAGAGGAAACGGAAAUUCGGGGUGUAGGGGUGAAGUGGGAAGAUAAAAGGAAGAACACCAGUGGAGAGGGCGGAUGACGGGA
rnacentral:rRNA from 1 species